rnacentral:rRNA from 1 species
GCUUGACUGCGAGACCUACAAGUCGAGCAGGGUCGAAAGACGGACUUAGUGAUCCGGUGGUUCCGCAUGGAAGGGCCAUCGCUCAACGGAUAAAAGCUACCCCGGGGAUAACAGGCUUAUCUCCCCCAAGAGUUCACAUCGACGGGGAGGUUUGGCACCUCGAUGUCGGCUCAUCGCAUCCUGGGGCUGUAGUCGGUCCCAAGGGUUGGGCUGUUCGCCCAUUAAAGCGGUACGCGAGCUGGGUUCAGAACGUCGUGAGACAGUUCGGUCCCUAUCCGUCGUGGGCGUAGGAAAUUUGAGAGGAGCUGUCCUUAGUACGAGAGGACCGGGAUGGACAUACCUCUGGUGUACCAGUUGUCGUGCCAACGGCAUAGCUGGGUAGCUAUGUAUGGACGGGAUAAGUGCUGAAAGCAUCUAAGCAUGAAGCCCCCCUCAAGAUGAGAUUUCCCAACUUCGGUUAUAAGAUCCCUCGAAGAUGACGAGGUUAAUAGGUUCGAGGUGGAAGCGUGGUGACACGUGGAGCUGACGAAUACUAAUCGAUCGAAGACUUAAUCAAAUU